rnacentral:miRNA from 15 species
CGGUGGUUUUAUUACGGUGGUU